AUUGAACGCUGGCGGCAUGCCUAACACAUGCAAGUCGAACGGCAGCACAGCAGUAGCAAUACUGUGGGUGGCGAGUGGCGGACGGGUGAGGAAUGCGUCGGAAUCUGCCCAAUUGUGGGGGAUAACUAGCCGAAAGGUUAGCUAAUACCGCAUGAGACCGAGAGGUGAAAGCGGGGGAUCUGUCAAAGGACCUCGCGCGAUUGGAUGAGCCGACGCCGGAUUAGCUUGUUGGUGGGGUAAAGGCCUACCAAGGCGACGAUCCGUAGCUGGUCUGAGAGGAUGAUCAGCCACACUGGAACUGAGACACGGUCCAGACUCCUACGGGUGGCAG
rnacentral:rRNA from 1 species